UACGUAGGGGGCGAGCGUUGUCCGGAUUUACUGGGCGUAAAGCGCGUGUAGGCGGUUUGCCAAGUCCGGGGUGAAAGGCGGGGGCUCAACCCCCGAGCUGCGCUGGAAACUGGCAGACUUGAGUGUCGGAGAGGGGAGUGGAAUUCUCGGUGUAGCGGUGAAAUGCGUAGAGAUCGAGAGGAACACCCCGUGGCGAAGGCGGCUCCCUGGCCGAACACUGACGCUGAGACGCGAAAGCGCGGGGAGCGAACGGG
rnacentral:rRNA from 1 species